UACGUAGGGUGCGAGCGUUAAUCGGAAUUACUGGGCUUAAAGGGUUUGUAGGCGGCCUUAUAAGUCAGGUGUGAAAGCCCUCGGCUCAACCGAGGAAUAGCGCUUGAUACUGUAAGGCUUGAGGGAGACAGGGGUAAGCGGAACUGAUGGUGGAGCGGUGAAAUGCGUUGAUAUCAUCAGGAACACCGGUGGCGAAAGCGGCUUACUGGGUCUCUUCUGACGCUGAGGAACGAAAGCUAGGGUAGCGAACGGG
rnacentral:rRNA from 1 species